rnacentral:rRNA from 1 species
GAUGAACGCUGGCGGCGUGCUUAACACAUGCAAGUCGAACGGUGAAGCCAAGCUUGCUUGGUGGAUCAGUGGCGAACGGGUGAGUAACACGUGAGCAACCUGCCCUGGACUCUGGGAUAAGCGCUGGAAACGGCGUCUAAUACUGGAUAUGAGCCUCUAUCGCAUGGUGGGGGUUGGAAAGAUUUUUUGGUCUGGGAUGGGCUCGCGGCCUAUCAGCUUGUUGGUGAGGUAAUGGCUCACCAAGGCGUCGACGGGUAGCCGGCCUGAGAGGGUGACCGGCCACACUGGGACUGAGACACGGCCCAGACUCCUACGGGAGGCAGCAGUGGGGAAUAUUGCACAAUGGGGGCAACCCUGAUGGAGCAACGCCGCGUGCAGGAUGAAGGCUUUCGGGUCGUAAACUGCUUUUAUUUGUGACGAUUAUGACAGUAGCAAAUGAAUAAGGAUCGGCUAACUACGUGCCAGCAGCCGCAGUAAUAC